GAACGCGAAGAACCUUACCUGGUCUUGACAUGUACGGAAUCCUCCAGAGACGGAGGAGUGCCUUCGGGAGCCGUAACACAGGUGCUGCAUGGCUGUCGUCAGCUCGUGUCGUGAGAUGUUGGGUUAAGUCCCGCAACGAGCGCAACCCUUGUCAUUAGUUGCCAUCAUUUAGUUGGGCACUCUAAUGAGACUGCCGGUGACAAGCCGGAGGAAGGUGGGGAUGACGUCAAGUCCUCAUGGCCCUUAUGACCAGGGCUUCACACGUCAUACAAUGGUCGGUACAGAGGGUAGCCAAGCCGCGAGGUGGAGCCAAUCUCACAGAACCGAUCGUAGUCCGGAUUGCACUCUGCAACUCGAGUGCAUGAAGUCGGAAUCGCUAGUAAUCGCAGGUCAGCAUACUGCGGUGAAUACGUUCCCGGGUCUUGUACACACC
rnacentral:rRNA from 1 species